CCCUUGCUCUGAGCUUUCAGAUUCAGUUCAUGCUUCCCGUGGCUAAUGGAAAUCUCUAACCUCAGCCUCCCUGUUCCACUCUCCUCCCCCGCCCCCCGGAGUCUGGGGAGCCUGAGGCUGCUGGAUGCAGCAUCCUGGGUCUAAAGGUUGAGAGAAUCCCUGGGUCUGUAAGCAACUGAGUGUGGCUGCAGGGACGCAGCUCCGUGGGCUCCCUGGUGACCAAUGUAACUACUCGCAGGCAAGUGGAAACAGCCCUGCCUCUGUGUUUAAAGCUUUCAGGGAGCUUUCACACAGACCUGGGGCUGCUGCCCACAGGACCACGCUGGCAAAGCUCUUCUACCCCACCUCGGAGAGGGAGCCACUUCUACCCAAGCUGGCGCUCCAGCCCCCGUCGCACAGCCUGGCACACAUCCAGCCAAGCCUGGUUCCUCCCUCAACAGUCUUCUGGUUCCAAGAAGCCUCAAGAGCUUCUCAUCAAGUUACCAAGGCAACCACAGCCCUGCAAUCCCUGCAGUGAUGGUGGAGAGAGCAGAGACUGACAGCAGCCCCACACAGGCUGCUGGUCCCGCUUCCCUGUUCAGCCGAUUCCGGGAUCCGUUUUACCGUGUGUUAGAGGUUUGUUGUACGCAGCUCAGUCCCACGUGGCUGAGAAGACAGCAUCAAAGCUUCCCUCACUGUCAGGAAAAUGGGGUGGGUGGAGGGCUCCUCCAUGACUUCCCGGCAGACCAGACUCUGCAGCUCCCCGCCCAGUCCUACGUUUAAAAGGCCCCUGGGUUUCUCUUCCAUAACCACCUACUCCCUCCAGAGUGGCCCCCUUGGGACACAGUACUGCGAAGGGAUCAUGAGCACGGACUGAUUUGGGAUGAGGCAAAAGUGGAUUUGGCUCUUAGCUUGAUCAUUUUCUAAGACUCCAUGGCCUCACGCAAGUCACUUCUCUCUGAACCUCAGUUCCCCUAGCUGUAAAAUGGGGAUAAUAUGAUGGUUUUGCUGGAUUUAAUGACACCAUGCAUCUAUUAAUAAUGUCCUUGCAGGGCCUGGCACUAGGUGACCUAAAAAAUGACAAUAAAGACUGUUAAAAUUUUAUCAUCAUUAACUACUCUUUUAAUUUUUAUUAUUAAGCAUGUGCCUCUGUUUACUUAUCUAAAAUUGGAAUCAUAAUUAGACCUAAUUCAAUGGGUUGUUUGACGAUUACCUGCGACAGAGCAUGUGAAACUCUCAGCCCAAUGCCUACCCCAGGGAAAGUGCUAAGAGCCCUUAGUAUUGAUCCUUUCUCUC
rnacentral:lncRNA from 1 species